rnacentral:rRNA from 1 species
AUAAUCCGUAGAAAUGCGGCCUAAUACCUUAUGUUUCCUUAGAGGGCAUCUGAUGACGGAACAAGAUCCGUCGCUUGCGGAUGGGGAUGCGUCUGAUUAGUUAGUCGGCGGGUAACGCCACCGAGACGACGAUCGGUAGGGGUUCUGAGAGGAAAGGUCCCCCCACAUUGGAACUGAGACACGGUCCAAACUCCUACGGGAGGCAGCAGUGAGGAAUAUUGGUCAAUGGGCGAGAGCCUGAACCAGCCAAGUAGCGUGCAGGACGACGGCCCUAUGGGUUGUAAACUGCUUUUAUAAGGGAAUAAAGUGAGUCUCGUGAGACUUUUUGCAUGUACCUUAUGAAUAAGGACCGGCUAAUUCCGUG